GACGAACGCUGGCGGCGUGCUUAACACAUGCAAGUCGAACGGAAAGGCCCCUUUGGGGGUACUCGAGUGGCGAACGGGUGAGUAACACGUGAGUAACCUGCCCUUGACUUCGGGAUAACUUCAGGAAACUGGGGCUAAUACCGGAUAGGAAUCCUUGCUGCAUGGUGGGGGUUGGAAAGCUUCGGCGGUUUUGGAUGGACUCGCGGCUUAUCAGCUUGUUGGUGGGGUAGUGGCUUACCAAGGCUUUGACGGGUAGCCGGCCUGAGAGGGCGACCGGCCACAUUGGGACUGAGAUACGGCCCAGACUCCUACGGGAGGCAGCAGUGGGGAAGAUUGCACAAUGGGCGGAAGCCUGAUGCAGCAACGCCGCGGGCGGGAUGACGGCCUUCGGGUUGUAAACCGCGUUCAGCAGGGGCGAAGCUUGUGGUGACGGUACCUGCAGAAGAAGCACCGGCUAACUACGUG
rnacentral:rRNA from 1 species